ACCCAAUGAUGGAAAAUAUUUGGUCUGAUUUAUCUUUUGAUGAUUUAUUUCACCAAGAUCUCUGAGGGU
rnacentral:snoRNA from 1 species